AUGGGAUCUUAUGGUUCCUUCCAAAUUCUGACUAGUGUAAGAAAGGAAAAUGUGAAACCCGUCGCUGGGCGGAGUGAGAACGAACAAGUGGCUUUGUACAUAAAAAAAAAAAAAAAAAAAGAAGAAGAAGAAGCUAAAAAUAGGCUCCCCACAAGCCUGCACUUCCUGGUGAGCGCAGGGCUGUGGCGGCUGGGGCAGCCGGAGCCAUGGGCCGCCUGUGUCGGCCUCGAGAAGCCCCCUCCUGACCCGGGGACACCGAGGGGACAGGCGAGGGGCCAGCAGAGCAGGAAAUAAUAUCACAGUGGACACACACGCUUGAAAACGUUUGUAAUAAUUGAGUGCUUACAAAUAGGCUGAUGAAUGCAAUAGGAAGUUGCAUCGUUUUGGCUGCCCCAUACACGUAGGACUGAAACUUCCCUUGCUUAGUCAGUGCCUGUGGUCACUGAGAUGUUACAGAGAAAUGCAGGCAGCACAGGGCUCUGUCCAAGCAGCCAGCAGGGACCCUUUCUUUCUUAUCCCUGGGAGAUAAAUGAAUUUUACUCCGCGCAUCGCUCUGCCUUGCUUCCCUCAAAUCCAGAAGCCAAUGAUUUGGAAAGAUUGCUCGGAACCCCCUUCUAAG
rnacentral:lncRNA from 1 species